GCUGUGAGCACCAUGGCCUGGACGCCUCUCCUUCUCCUGCUCCUCUCUCACUGCACAGGGUCCCUCUCCCAGCCUGUGCUCACUCCGCCACCCUCCCUCCCUGCAUCCCUGGGAGCAUCGGCCCGACUCACCUGCACCCUGAGCAGUGGGAACAGUGUUGGCAGCUAUCCUGUAUCCUGGUACCAGCAGAAGCCAGGGAGCCCUCCCCGGUACCUCCUGUACUACGUCACAGACUCCAUUCAGCACCGGGGCUCCGGGGUCCCCAGCCGCUUCUCUGGGUCCAAAGAUGUCUCGGCCAGUGCAGGGCUCCUGUUCAUCUCCGGGCUGCAGCCCGAGGACCAGGCUGACUAUUUCUGUGCUGCAGGUUAUGGCAGUGGGAGCAGCAGUGGUGCCCAAAGUGUCUCAGAUGAUGAGGAAGUGAGACAAAAACACCUGGGUCCCCAGACCUUGUCUUGA